rnacentral:piRNA from 1 species
CAGCCCGGCCUACUUCUUCCUCUGGC